GCAUCAUAUAUAGAGAGAGAGUACAACUCUCUCUCUCUCUCUCUCUCUCUCUCUCUCUACAUAUAUAUAUAUAUAUAUAUAUAUAUAUAUAGAGAGAGAGAGAGAGAGAGAGAGAGAGAGAGUUGUACUCUCUCUCUAUAUAUGAUG